AGUUUAAUACUAGACUGGCAAGAUAAAGUGAGACAAUAACAACAAAGUUAUUUCAUCUUUAAAAUGCCAGCAUUGGAUGCAGGAUUAUUAUAACAAAAUUUACAACAUAAAUUUUAAUGAUGACAAUUUCAGACCCCAAAAUAAGUAAUUAAUUUCUGUCAUAAGUGAUAAUGUUGAAGAAAUUUCAAAAGAAAUUAAAGAUGCUUCCAGCAAAUAUACUUACGUUAUAACAUCUGGUGGAAUUGGACCAACACAUGAUGAUGUUACAUAUACAGGUAAAUAUUAUAUAAGAGAAGAUGGAUGUUUCUCUGUCCAUGUUAGCCUGUAAAGCUAUUUAUUGGAUAUUUGGAAAAA
rnacentral:lncRNA from 13 species